ACCGUGCAAAGGUAGCAUAAUCACUUGCCUAUUAAUUGUAGGCUAGAAUGAAAGGACAAACGAGAAUACACCUGUCUCCUUUAAGCCCUUAAAAAUUUAUCUUUAAGUGAAGAAGCUUAAAUUCAUAUGCAGGACAAGAAGACCCUAUAGAGCUUUACCUAAAAUCUACAUAAAUAGUAGCUAGCGGUUCGGUUGGGGCGACCGGGGGACAUUCAUCACCCCCCAAACUAAAAGAUAUACCUAUCCCACCAAAGAUCCUUACUCAAGAUCAAAGAAUCAAGCUACCUUAGGGAUAACAGGCUAAUCCUCUUAGAGAGCCCUUAUCGACAAGAGGGGUU
rnacentral:rRNA from 1 species